rnacentral:lncRNA from 1 species
AGUUGUACAACACUUACUAGAGGCCGAGAUAAAACGAGAUUUAAAUGGUUUUUUGUGUAGUUUAGGUAGCCAAUACAUAUAAGGGACCUUCAAAUGUUUAGAAGAAGCCUUAAGCUUGCAUGUAGUAUUUUUAUUUCAAAAAUCGAAAUAUUUUGUAUACCUGCUCUGUUUAUUUUUGCAAAGUCUUAAAAGUAAAUAAGUGAAUGCUUAUCGAGUCGCACUCUUUGUCGAGUUUACUUUAAAUUCUCGAG